rnacentral:rRNA from 3 species
UACGAAGGGUGCAAACGUUGCUCGGAAUUAUUGGGCGUAAAGCGCACGUAGGCGGCUCCGCAAGUCGGAUGUGAAAUCCCUCGGCUCAACCAAGGAAGUGCAUCCGAAACUGCAGAGCUUGAGUACCAAAGAGGAUCGCGGAAUUCCCGGUGUAGAGGUGAAAUUCGUAGAUAUCGGGAGGAACACCAGUGGCGAAGGCGGCGAUCUGGGUGGAUACUGACGCUGAGGUGCGAAAGCGUGGGGAGCAAACAGG